CAACUACUCCCUCCGAUCCCUAUUAAUUGUCUCAAAUUUGAUCAAAUAUGGAUGUAUCUACGCCUAAAAAACGUCUAGAUGCAUUUAAUAUUUCGAUAAUUAAUAUGGAUUGGAGGGAGUAAUUA
rnacentral:pre_miRNA from 1 species